rnacentral:rRNA from 1 species
UACAGAGGGUGCUAGCGUUGUUCGGAAUCAUUGGGCGUAAAGGGCGUGUAGGCGGUUUGUUAAGUCAUGUGUGAAAUCCCUCGGCUCAACCGGGGAAGGACGCAUGAAACUGGCAAGCUAGAGUACCAAAGAGGGGGGUGGAAUUCCCGGUGUAGCGGUGAAAUGCGUAGAUAUCAGGAGGAACACCGGUGGCGAAGGCGGGUCUCUGGGCAACAACUGACGCUGAGGAGCGAAAGCGUGGGGAGCGAACAGG